CAUUCACGGAGAGUUUGAUCCUGGCUCAGGACGAACGCUGGCGGCGUGCUUAACACAUGCAAGUCGAACGAUGAACCGCUUUCGGGCGGGGAUUAGUGGCGAACGGGUGAGUAACACGUGGGCA
rnacentral:rRNA from 1 species